rnacentral:lncRNA from 1 species
UGAGGUCGAGCGAGCCAUAGAUUUGUGAUCUAGAGCUCAGUCGACCUCAAAUCUAGGUUGGUUUAAGGUCGGCUUAGGCAACAGGGAGGUGAAGGCAUUUUCUUCUUCCUUUCACUCCGAUGGGAGCGAGCACAGUGACCACCACCACCUCAUCGCCGUCUCAGUCCUCUGGCGUCGAGCUCGAGCUUAGCCGGCGAACUUGAGCCUCAGAUUUUGGACCUGAGGUCGAGCGAGCCAUAGAUUUGUGAUCUAGAGCUCAGGUCGACCUCAAAUCUGGGUUGGUUCAAGGUCGGCUUAGGCAACAGGGAGGUGAAGGCAUUUUCUUCUUCCUUUCACUCCGAUGGGAGCGAGCACAGUGACCACCACCACCUCAUCGCCGUCUCAGUCCUCUGGCGUCGAGCUCGAGCUUGGCCGGCGAACUUGGGCCUCAGAUUUUGGAUCUGAGGUCGAGCGAGCCAUAGAUUUGUGAUCUAGAGCUCAGGUCGACCUUAAAUCUGGGUUGGUUCAAGGUCG